UGAGGCGGCCGGGACGAUGGCGGCGCGCAGUAGGGGCGGUUGCUCCAAGCCCCGUCCAGCCUGGCCUUGGGCACUUCCUGGGAAUUAAGACAAGAUCUGAGCCUCUUUCAAAUGAGGCUGGUUGCCGCAGUCCCAAAGAAACGCCUGGAAAUGAUGAAGAAGAACUGGAGCGGCAGCUGUUGAGUUGGUGUGGCCGCGUGCAGAGCUCGGGAGAGCAGAGGGGAACGUGGAAAAGUGGGAGUUCAGGCAUGGCAAAAACCAUCACCAAGUGAAUUCCGAGACCUCAGAGGGGUAAGAAAGGCUGUCCGUGGUCUGUGUGUGAGGAACUUGUGGAGGAAAGAAAGGGAGAAAAAGCAGCAAAAGAGAAAAGAGAGGGGGCACCUGGAGUUGAACCAGGGACCUCUUGAUCUGCAGUCAAAUGCUCUGCCACUGAGCUAUACCCCCCUGGGACAGCACCUGCACCAGGGAAAUUUAAAAAUAUUCAUUGGGAAAGAAAAAUGUUCUGCUGCCUGUGGCUUGGAUCCCUUUCCUCAGCAGCUCCCUGAGCACCUUAAGGUGCCUGCCUGAGGUACAGGGAGUUAAACGGGGUAAGUGACGGUAAAAAUGAGAAUUGCUGGCAGAUCUGAUGCCUGCAGUGAAUUUAAAAUAGAGAAAAGCACACACAGACACAGCAGGUGGUUCCCACUGUCCCUCACGACCCUUUCCCAACCCUCAGGGCCUCAUUCCUUGGGUUCUGGAGCUCAGAACCAGCACCGACAUGUGACAGAUCCUGCAAGAGCCCUCCAGGUUUUUUUUCUGUGAAAGAUUUUUGGCAAAAGGAAGGUGGAAGGAGGGGAAAAAGAGGGGGCACCUGGAGUUGAACCAGGGACCUCUUGAUCUGCAGUCAAAUGCUCUACCACUGAGCUAUACCCCCCUGGCACAUUUAAAAACAUCCUUAGAGCCUCAGGUGUUUCUCUCUGUGGGUUGGAUCCCUUCACCUGACAGGCCCCUGUGCCUGCCAAAGGCUGUGCAGGGAGUUAAGUGUGAUAAAUUAUGGGAAUUAUAAGACAUUCUGGGCAGUGGUGGCUGCAGAGAAUUAAAAACAGAGAAAGGCACACGCAGACAGUGAGUGGUUCCUAGCCAAGGCAAAAACCCUUGAGCUUUUGCAGGGCCUUGCUGCUUCCACCCCAAGAUCCCUGCCCAGCACGACCUCCCACAUCCCACAGGACGUUCCCAACCUUCCCGUGAAGGAUUUGGGCAGAAGGAAGAGGAGGAAAAAGAGAAAAGAGAGGGGGCACCUGGAGUUGAACCAGGGACCUCUUGAUCUGCAGUCAAAUGCUCUACCACUGAGCUAUACCCCCAUGGGAUAACAGCUGGGCCAGGGAAAUUUAAAAACAUUCGUUGGGAAAGAAAAAAGUUUUGCUGCCUAGGGGUUGGAUUCCUUUCCUUGCCACCCCCUGUGCAGCCCAGGGAGUGCCUGGGGAAGGUGCAGGGAGUUAAAUGUGACGAAUGGCGGUGAAAGUGAGAAAUUUUGGCGAUGAUCACCGGGAAUUAAGGACGGAGAAACGCACACACAGGCAGCGAGGGGUUAGAGCACAGCCCCAAAACUUUCCCAGUGGAGCCUCAGUUCCCUGGAUGCCGCAGCUCAGAGCCAACGCCCCACGCGCGGCGCAAAGCUCGGGGCUCUCCACGGUUUUUCUGUGGCAAAUUUUUUGGCAAAAGGAAGGUGGAAGGGGGAGGAAAAGAGAGGGGGCACCUGGAGUUGAACCAGGGACCUCUUGAUCUGCAGUCAAAUGCUCUACCACUGAGCUAUACCCCCCUGGGCUAGCACAGGGACAUUUAAAAACAUUUGUUGGGAAAGACAGAAGUUUUGCUGUUCGUGGAUUGGAUUCCUUUAGUUGACAGCUCCCUGUGCACCUCAGUGUGCCUGUGGAAGGGUGUAAAAUUCCAUCAGUUAGGUAUGAAACUGAGGGGAAGAUCGGGAGAAAAUGGAAAUUCGGAGAAAAGUGACUGCAGAGGAAAUCCCAGGCAGGCAGUGAAUGGUUCUCACACAGAGCACAAGCCCUGAGCUUUCCCCGUAGUCAGAGCACAAAUCCUUUGAAGCUGAAGCUCCCAGCCAGCACUGAGGGGUACAAAACAAACUCACAAGAUCCAACCGGAGCUCUCCAACUUCCUUCUGGGAAGGAUUUUGGCAAAAGGAAGAGGAAAAGAGAGGGGGCACCUGGAGUUGAACCAGGGACCUCUUGAUCUGCAGUCAAAUGCUCUACCACUGAGCUAUACCCCCCCUGGCACCUCCUUGUGCAAAUAAAACAUUUAAGGGAUGUUUUUUCCCCAAAUCCCUGAGCUCCUGAGGGAUUGGCUCCUGCUGCACUCCCAGGCGCCAGGUGACCUUGGCCCAGUUCCAGUCUGUCCUGAGCGCUCCAAACUGCCGGGGAGUCUCUGACGUUUUCCCCUCGCUUCCAUCUCCGACUGCGACAGGGAAAAGAAUGAACAGGAGAGGAGGCUGAGCCGCCGUUCCUCGCUUGACUCCCGGUCACCAAACCCCCCCCAAAAUCCCCAGGGAAAAGCAGCAAAAGAGAAAAGAGAGGGGGCACCUGGAGUUGAACCAGGGACCUCUUGAUCUGCAGUCAAAUGCUCUACCACUGAGCUAUACCCCCAUGGGGUUACACCUGCGCCAGGGAAGUUUAAAAAUAUUCAUUGGGAAAGAAAAAAGUUUUGUUGUCCAGGGGUUGGAUUCCUUUCCUUGCCACCCCCCCUGUGCGCUGUAAUGCAUCUCCAAAGGCUGGACACGGAGUUAAACGUGAUAAACGACGGUGAAAAUGAUCAGUUCUGGUAGAUCUGGUGUCCACAGAGGAUUAAGAACAGGCAAAGCACAACCCCUGCACUUCCCCAACCAUCAGGGCCUCGCUCCCUGCACGCUGCAGCUCAGAGCCAGUGCCCCACACGCGGCGCAAAGCUCGGGGCUCUCCACGGUUCUUCUGUGGCAAAUUUUUGGCAAAAGGAAGGUGGAAGGAGGAGGAAAAGAGAGGGGGCACCUGGAGUUGAACCAGGGACCUCUUGAUCUGCAGUCAAAUGCUCUACCACUGAGCUAUACCCCCCUGGGUUUACACCUGCGCCGGGAAAGUUUAAAAACAUUCGUUGGAAAAGAGAGAAGUUUUUCUCUCUGUGGGUUGGAUCCCUUCACUCCACGGCUCCUGUGCAGCCCAGUGUCCCUGUCAAAGGUACAGGGACUUAAAGGGGAUAAAAUAUGGCAAACGUGAUUCCUUCCAUUCCAUUUCCUGGCCCUGAUCCAGUCCGGGAUAUUCCCCCGUUCCAUGUCCUGGCUGGAUGCAGUUCAGGUUUUCUCCCAUUCUGUCUGCUGGCUAAUAUCCGGUCCGGGUUUUCCUUCCUACCAUAUCCCACCCUGAUCCAGUCCAUAUAUCAGCUUCAAUCCAGUCCAGGUUUUCCUCCAUUCCACAUCCUGCUCUGAUCCAGUCCAGGUUUUCCUCCAUUCCCUAUCCUGCUCUGAUCCAGUCCAGGUUUUCCUCCAUUCCGUAUCCCAACUGUGAUCCCAACCAGGUUUUCCUCCAUUCCCACCCUGAUCCUGUCUUGACUUUUGGGUUUUGCUCCAUUCCGUAUCCUGGCCCUGAUCCAGUCACAGUUUUUCCCCAUUCCUGAUUCCUGGAUCCAGGAUCCAGUCCCAGUUUUCUUCCAUUCCAGAUUCCAGCCCAGAUCCCAUCCCAGUUUUCCCCCCAUUCCAGAUUCCAGCCCAGAUCCCAUCCCAGUUUUCCCCCAUUCCUGAUUCCAGCCCAGAUCCCAUCCCAGUUUUCCCCCAUUCCUGAUUCCAGUCUGGAACCAGUCCCAGUUUUCCCCCAUUCCAGAUUCCAGCACAGAUCCAAUGCCAGUUUUCCUCCAUUCCAGAUCCCAGCCCAGAUCCCAUCCCAGUUUUCCCCCAUUCCAGAUUCCAGCCCAGAUCCAAUGCCAGUUUUCCCCCAUUCCAGAUCCCAGCCCAGAUCCCAUCCCAGUUUUCCCCCAUUCCAGAUCCCAGCCCAGAUCCCAUCCCAGUUUUCCCCCAUUCCAGAUCCCAGCCCGGAUCCCGGUUCAGUUUUUCCCGUUACAGGGAAUUUCUCCCAUUUACAGGGAAUCCAGCCCGGAGGGAGCUCGGGCAGAUCCCGAUUUCCCGAUUUCCCGUGAGCGGUUCCUCGCCCCGUGCACACCCCCUGCGCUUUUCCAGGGCCUUGGUGCUCCCACCGACGCUCCCACCCCGUGUUCCCUGCCCAGCACAACCCCCCACAUCCCACAGCGGCUUUCCCAACCUUCCCCUGAAGGAUUUGGGCAGAGGAAAAGCUGGAGGAAGAGGAAAAGGAGGAGAAAAGAGCACCUGGAGUUGAACCUCGCAGUCAAAUGCUCUCCCACUGAGCUGUGCCCCCUCCUUUCCAUGGGUAUUCCCAGCAGGAAUCUCCCUGCUCGUUACCAUCCCACCAAAGCUCUGCUAAUUAACCCCAGGACAAAGCCCAGAUCCUCCCAAAAUCCCCUUCCCUUUUCCUCACCAACCCUGCCCUGCUGGGGAUCAGCUCCCUUCCCUCUGGCCAGCUGUGGCCUACACACAGCUCGGGGAGAGGGGCGGGGGGGGAAAACUGGGAAUUCCGAGCUCCCAAGCGCAUUUUUGGGGAUAAAAAGACGGAAAAGAGAGGGGGCACCCGGAUUUGAACCGGGGACCUCUUGAUCUGCAGUCAAAUGCUCUGCCCCUGAGCUAUACCCCCACCUGGGCAGGGCAGCCAGGUGAAGCUCCUGGUGGCCAGGUGAGGCUCCCUGUGGCCAGGUGAGGCUCCCUGUGGCCAGGUGAGGUUCCUGGUGGCCAGGUGAGGCUCCCGGUGGCCAGGUGAGGCUCCCGGUGGCCAGGUGAGGCUCCCGGUGGCCAGGUGAGGCUCCCUGUGGCCAGGUGAGGCUCCCAGUGGCCAGGUGAGGCUCCCAGUGGCCAGGUGAGGCUCCCUGUUGUCACCACAGCUCCCACCCAAACCAUUCCUCCUUUUGCUCCAGGAACACCGGGGAGACCACAAACAACAGCCCAAGCUUUUCCCUGGCCACCCCUUCCCACUCUGCUCCCGAAGAUCCCGAGCUCAGCCCGAGCUCAGCCCGGGCUCUCCGGGUGCAGCUGGCACCGAGGCUCAGGUGACAGCAGUGGCCUGGCCGUGUCCCCAGGAGUGACACUCUUCAGUGGCACUGUCCAGCAGGAACCCUGCAGCUCCGGGAGCAGCUCAGCCUCGGGAACUCUCUCACUCUAAAUGCUUAAAUUGCCCAUUCCAGAAGAGAAUCCCAGGAAUUCUCCAAAUCUGAGCUGCCACAGCCCCUCCCAGCCCCCCUCAGACAUGGCAUCAAUUCAGGAUCACUAAAAUCUGAGCUGUUCCAGGGGAUUCUUCAGGAACCUGCCCGAAAAACAGAAACCGUUAAAUCCCCCAACGCCAUUCUCCAGCUGGAGCUCCAUA